UACGUAGGGAGCAAGCGUUGUCCGGAUUUAUUGGGCGUAAAGAGCUCGUAGGCGGCUUGUUGCGUCGACUGUGAAAGCCCGUGGCUUAACCGCGUGGUCUGCAGUCGAUACGGGCAGGCUAGAGUUCGGUAGGGGAGACUGGAAUUCCUGGUGUAGCGGUGAAAUGCGCAGAUAUCAGGAGGAACACCGGUGGCGAAGGCGGGUCUCUGGGCCGAUACUGACGCUGAGGAGCGAAAGCGUGGGGAGCAAACAGG
rnacentral:rRNA from 1 species